rnacentral:rRNA from 1 species
GCCUACGGGGGGCAGCAGUAAGGAAUAUUGGUCAAUGGAGGCAACUCUGAACCAGCCAUGCCGCGUGCAGGAAGACGGCCCUCUGGGUUGUAAACUGCUUUUAUUCGGGAAUAAACCUCCUUACGUGUAGGGAGCUGAAUGUACCGAAGGAAUAAGGAUCGGCUAACUCCGUGCCAGCAGCCGCGGUAAUACGGAGGAUCCAAGCGUUAUCCGGAUUUAUUGGGUUUAAAGGGUGCGUAGGCGGCUUAUUAAGUCAGGGGUGAAAGACGGUGGCUCAACCAUCGCAGUGCCCUUGAUACUGAUGAGCUUGAAUACAUUAGAGGUAGGCGGAAUGUGACAAGUAGCGGUGAAAUGCAUAGAUAUGUCACAGAACACCGAUUGCGAAGGCAGCUUACUAUGAUGAGAUUGACGCUGAGGCACGAAAGCGUGGGGAUCAAACAGGAUUAGAUACCCCCGUAGUCCA